GAACGUACGCUGGCGGCACGCCUAACACAUGCAAGUCGAACGAAGUAGCAAUACUUAGUGGCAGACGGGUGAGUAACAUGUAGGUAUCUGCCCUUUGGCCUGGAAUAACACGAGGAAACUUGUGCUAAUACCGGAUAAGUCUUUACGGAGAAAGCUUUAUGCACCAUUGGAUGAGCCUGCACUUGAUUAGUUUGUUGGUGGGGUAAUGGCCUACCAAGACUGUGAUCAAUAGCUGAUUUGAGAGGAUGAUCAGCCACAUUGGGACUGAGACACGGCCCAAACUCCUACGGGAGGCAGCAGUGGGGAAUCUUGCACAAUGGAGGAAACUCUGAUGCAGCGAUGCCGCGUGAGUGAAGAAGGCCCUUGGGUUGUAAAGCUCUUUCGUCGGGGAAGAAAAUGACUGUACCCGAAUAAGAAGGUCCGGCUAACUUCGUGCCAGCAGCCGCGGUAAUACGAAGGGACCUAGCGUAGUUCGGAAUUACUGGGCUUAAAGAGUUCGUAGGUGGUUGAAAAAGUUGGUGGUGAAAUCCCAGAGCUUAACUCUGGAACUGCCAUCAAAACUUUUCAGCUAGAGUAUGAUAGAGGAAAGCAGAAUUUCUAGUGUAGAGGUGAAAUUCGUAGAUAUUAGAAAGAAUACCAAUUGCGAAGGCAGCUUUCUGGAUCAUUACUGACACUGAGGAACGAAAGCAUGGGUAGCGAAGAGGAUUAGAUACCCUCGUAGUCCAUGCCGUAAACGAUGUGUGUUAGACGUUGGAAAUUUAUUUUCAGUGUCGCAGCGAAAGCGAUAAACACACCGCCUGGGGAGUACGACCGCAAGGUUAAAACUCAAAUGAAUUGACGGGGACCCGCACAAGUAGUGGAGCAUGUGGUUUAAUUCGAAGAUACGCGCAGAACCUUACCAACACUUGACAUGUUCGUCGCGACUCUAAGAGAUUAGAGUUUUCGGUUCGGCCGGACGAAACACAGGUGCUGCAUGGCUGUCGUCAGCUCGUGUCGUGAGAUGUUGGGUUAAGUCCCGCAACGAGCGCAACCCUCACUUUUAGUUGCCAUCAUUAAGUUGGGCACUCUGAAAGAACUGCCAGUGAUAAGCUGGAGGAAGGUGGGGAUGACGUCAAGUCCUCAUGGCCCUUACGUGUUGGGCUACACACGUGCUACAAUGGUAUCUACAACAGGAAGCAAGACUGCGAAGUUAAGCAAAUCCCUAAAAGAUACCUCAGUUCGGAUUGCACUCUGCAACUCGAGUGCAUGAAGCUGGAAUUACUAGUAAUCGUGGAUCAGCGUGCCACGGUGAAUGCGUUCCCGGGUCUUGUACACACCGC
rnacentral:rRNA from 1 species